rfam:Arthrobacter sp. A3, complete genome.
GAAGGCGACACGGGGUGCCAGGCCACAAGGGCCGGCUGAGACAAUACCCGUUGAACCUGCCCGGUUAGCACCGGCGAAGGGAUGUCCCAUGACAACCAG